UUCCCCGAUAGCUCAGUCGGUAGAGCGCCGGGCUGUUAAUCCGUAGGUCCCUGGUUCGAGCCCAGGUCGGGGAGCCAA
rnacentral:tRNA from 1 species